rnacentral:rRNA from 1 species
AUACGAAGGUGGCAAGCGUUAUUCGAAAUCACUGGGCUUAAAGGGCGCGUAGGCGGACAUGAAAGUGUUGAGUGAAAUCCCUCGGCUUAACCGAGGAAUUGCUUGGCAAACUACAUGUCUUGAGUCAAGUAGGGGUGUGUGGAACUCUUGGUGGAGCGGUGGAAUGCGUAGAUAUCAAGAGGAACGCCGAAGGUGAAGACAGCACACUGGGCUUGAACUGACGCUGAGGCGCGAAAGCGUGGGGAGCAAACAGGAUUAGAUACCCUGGUAGUCCACGCCGUAAACGAUGUCUACUAGGUUGCGGGGGUUCUGACACCGUCGCAGUCGUAGCAAAAGUAUUAAGUAGACCGCCUGGGGAGUACGGUCGCAAGGCUAAA